CCCGAUCCGGCCCAACCCCCUCGUCCGUUCCCUUGUCCCCAACCAGUCCGUCGCCCACCCAGCAGCACCAGCGGUGGCGGUGGCCGAAGCCUAUCCCGCCGCCUUCUCCCCUCCUUCCCGCCGUGCUACUGCCGGCGGAACUAGCUUUGUCUCCGAUGGAGGGGCGUUUCGUCUAUGGGCAGGAAGUUAUUUUCGGGACCCGGAGUGAAUGCGAUGCGGACAAUUGGACUUGUACGGAAUGCAACAUCAUCAACAAAUCACAGCAAUUUUUAAUCUUCACGAUACCUGCAUUCACAUGCACAUCAUGCAAAAAACCAUUUGCUGGAGAUUUCGAUUUUUGCUUGGCUAGUGUGAUGGCGAAUGGCCUGCCGUUAGUUGAUAAGGUGCUGUGUGAAAAAGAUGGCGAAGGAAAUUGCAUUGCAUAUGCCAUCGUUCAGUCAAUUGGCAUAAUACACAGGAUCCAUAUCGCCCUCGCCUCCAACAAUGGCAAACUCGAUAUUGGUUUGGCCAAAAUGCCAGUUGAGAGAGAGGUGCUCAUUGACGCAUAUUCUAAGAAGUUUCCGGUCGAAGUGGGCCAGGUUGGUGGUGUGCACAAGCUGAUUCAUAUGUGCCAGGAUGUUGUGGAACACGGAGUCGAAUUGAAGGACAAGUGGUGGAAAAGAUUCUUCCCUUCAAAAUACUUCAAUGCUAGUCAAAGGUAGCUGCUAUUCCAUGUGAUGAUUUUGAGGAGGUCUGUAGACAGAUUGCUGACGGCAAUCCCCUUAUUGCUGUACUCAUGGUUGGUGAAAAAUGGGAAAACCUGAAGUUUUGCCAGUUCUACAAACCCAUAUCUGCGGUUGAAAGAGCCCUCGCUGGGAAGUUCAACAUAAACUUUGUCGAUCAUGCCAUCGUGCUCAUAGGGGCAUGUUCCCUGGGUGGUCAUCGGGCUUACUAUGGCCUAAAUUCUGCUGGCUCCCUAUUCUGCAAGCAAGUUGGUUUGAAUGAAGAUUGGAAGGCUCUAAGCGCUGCUCCCGGUGGAUUUGGGAAGAUAAAAGCAGAUUCUGACUUUCUUAUAAACUUUUUAAAGUUGACCAGGUCUGGUGAAGAUGAAACUCAUCCGGUCCUGAAGCAUGAAGAUGAGACUCCAGUGUUGUCACGUGAAAAUGUUGCUAUUGUUCGUGGUGGUGAAUGGUCGCAGAGGCGAAAAGCUCUGAUAAAUAUGAUGUGGGCUCUAGAAUAUGAUCCUGACAUCUUCUCCACGUAUAAAGAAACUGGUGAUGCAACUGACAGAACUCAAGGACAUAAACCAAAAGUUAAAUCGACCCGUCAGUUUGGCAAGUACGAGAGGGCGAAUAUGAAGAAUGGUACUAACGGUGUUGAUGGCCCUGUCCCUAUUUCUGUUUUCCUGGUUGCUAGUGUUCUGAAGGAGAACAGUCAGAAGCUUCUGCAAGAAGCCCGAGGGAUAGAUGAUAUUAUUACGACUAGGAAGGAGAGAAAAAGGGGGUAAACAGAAUGAACAAAUCCUAAGGCAAAUAAAGGGGCGAGAAUCUCGAAUCCACUGUUGCAUCUGUCUUUCUUUUCACUAUACUAUUAUUUAUACCCAAACAAUGGGAAAAACUGGAUUACUCAUAUGCUAGGAAAACGCUAGAGAUGGACUAUAAAUGAAACUAGAUUUGUCAUAGACUCAAAUAGACCUGAAAUUUUGUUUACCGAUUAAGUUUAAUGUGUCACUUUCUUUGUUUUGUUUAUUUGAGAUACUGAACAAUGUUAAAGGGAACUUGGAUGCGAAGAAGGCUUGUGCUGUCGCAUUGAAACUUCACGUGAAGUACCUUAGAAAGAUGCAGGGAAAGAAACCCUAACGGCAGGACACAGGACACGGGGAAGGCUCUGAGAGGUGCUAUUUGGAUGUAAAUUUGGAUGUAAGGCAGAGUAAGUAUUGAAAUACUUGUUUGUAUGUAAAUUUGGAUGCCAUGCAAUCCACCUCGUUAUUUUGAAACCCUAAGUUUAAGAGAACCCUAAAAAAACAUGUAUGCAUUAAUUGUUCUCCCGGGAGAA